rnacentral:rRNA from 1 species
GAUGAACGCUGGCGGCGUGCUUAACACAUGCAAGUCGAACGGUGAACGAGGGAGCUUGCUCCCUCCGGAUCAGUGGCGAACGGGUGAGUAACACGUGAGCAAUCUGCCCUGGACUCUGGGAUAAGCGUUGGAAACGACGUCUAAUACCGGAUACGAGACGUGGGGGCAUCCCCAACGCCUGGAAAGAACUUCGGUCCAGGAUGAGCUCGCGGCCUAUCAGCUAGUUGGUGAGGUAACGGCUCACCAAGGCGACGACGGGUAGCCGGCCUGAGAGGGUGACCGGCCACACUGGGGCUGAGACACGGCCCAGACUCCUACGGGAGGCAGCAGUGGGGAAUAUUGCACAAUGGGCGCAAGCCUGAUGCAGCAACGCCGCGUGAGGGACGACGGCCUUCGGGUUGUAAACCUCUUUUAGCAGGGAAGAAGCGAAAGUGACGGUACCUGCAGAAAAAGCACCGGCUAACUACGUGCCAGCCGCCGCGGUAA